rnacentral:lncRNA from 1 species
GGUAGAAAGUCCAUGUUUUCCUAAAAUACUGUCGAUCUCAAAAUUAAUGACCAUGGUUUUGUGCUGCCAAUCAAAUCUUGUUACGUUUUCUCCUAAGUCUUUGUGAACAUAUUAAAAGAAGGGUCAUUUACUAUAAAAUAUGAACCUCACCAGGAACCAGAACGCUUUUGGCCCGCAUUUAAAACUGUAUAUAAAUACCUUUGAACCAUAGUAUACAUUUUCCUUUGGUAAAUAUUUUAAUAGUUUUCUCACUUC